rnacentral:rRNA from 1 species
ACGUAGGGGACGAGCGUUGUCCGGAUUUACUGGGCGUAAAGGGCGCGUAGGCGGUCAUUUAAGUCAGCUGUGAAAUGGUUUGGCUUAACCGGAUCAUGCGGUAGAAAUUGGAUGACUGGAGUGCUGGAGAGGCAAGGGGAAUUCCCAGUGUAGCGGUGAAAUGCGUAAAUAUUGGGAAGAACACCGGUGGCGAAGGCGACUAGCUGGCCAGCAACUGACGGUGAGUCACGAAAGCCAUGGGAGCAAACGG